UACGUAGGUGGCAAGCGUUGUCCGGAAUUAUUGGGCGUAAAGCGCGCGCAGGCGGUCCUUUAAGGCUGAUGUGAAAGCCCUCGGCUCAACCGAGGAGGGUCAUUGGAAACUGGAGGACUUGAGUGCAGAAGAGGAAAGUGGAAUUCCAAGUGUAGCGGUGAAAUGCGUAGAGAUUUGGAGGAACACCAGUGGCGAAGGCGACUUUCUGGUCUGUAACUGACGCUGAGGCGCGAAAGCGUGGGGAGCAAACAGG
rnacentral:rRNA from 1 species